GAUGAACGCUGGCGGCGUGCUUAACACAUGCGAGUCGAACGAAGCACUUUAUUUGAUUUCCUUCGGGACUGAUUAUUUUGUGACUGAGUGGCGGACGGGUGAGUAACGCGUGGGUAACCUGCCUUGUACAGGGGGAUAACAGUUGGAAACGGCUGCUAAUACCGCAUAAGCGCACAGCAUCGCAUGAUGCAGUGUGAAAAACUCCGGUGGUAUAAGAUGGACCCGCGUUGGAUUAGCUAGUUGGUGAGGUAACGGCCCACCAAGGCGACGAUCCAUAGCCGACCUGAGAGGGUGACCGGCCACAUUGGGACUGAGACACGGCCCAAACUCCUACGUGAGGCAGCAGUGGGGAAUAUUGCACAAUGGGCGAAAGCCUGAUGCAGCGACGCCGCGUGAGCGAAGAAGUAUUUCGGUAUGUAAAGCUCUAUCAGCAGGGAAGAUAAUGACGGUACCUGACUAAGAAGCACCGGCUAAAUACGUG
rnacentral:rRNA from 1 species